GCCCGGGUGGAGGAAUGGCAGACUCAAGAGACUUAAAAUCUCUCGGGGCUUCACCGCCCCGUGCCGGUUCGAGUCCGGCCCCGGGCA
rnacentral:tRNA from 1 species